CAGAUAAGGCCCCACUGAGAAGGUGCAUUGGAGUAAAGGCCUGAGGGAGGAGAAAGAGUUAACUGGGCAGAUACCUGGAGGAAGCACAUUCCAGGCAGAGAAAAUAGCAGGAGCAAAGACCUCAGGGCAAGAGCCUGCCUGGCUGGUUAGAGCAACUGCAAGAAACUGCAAAGAACGAUAAGGAGGCCAGUCCGCCUGGAGCUAGGUUCAAAGAGCGGCAAGAUGGCCGGCAGCAAACCCAGAAUGUACAGUCUCUCUGCUUCAACUCCAGCAGACAUGCUUGAUGACCUCUUUCUCAGAAGUCCCAAUCACAGAGAAGAGAGAGAGAAAAUAGGCCAAAAUAUUAAUAGGUACGUCUGGAUAAAGAGUUGUUUACCAUCCGUGCAACUUUCCCACAAGUUUAUUUUCAAAUAAAUACAUUUUAAGAAUGGAAAAGAAAAAAAAAAAGGCCCAACUAAAUUCCUGUUGCUCUCAUUGGGUCAUGUUCCUGUCCCUGAGGUGGUCACUAUGGCCAGGAGAAUUUGAUGCUUGGGUUGGCUGGAGCCCAGGAGACUUGUCCUACCUUAGACCCUGGGGUGGAGCCCUGACUGCAGCGUGUGGGAUGCGAACUGAGAGGAUGCUGGGCAAGAAAAACUGCAGAUGUCCACCCCAAGUGUGCUGAGGACCAAAUGAAAAAAUAUAAGGAAACUGACUUCAGAAAGUCCUGUUCGACUAUAAAUGAUGAUGACUGUUCGGUUAUGUUUCUCUCGUGACACGUAGCACUUUCUUCCUUCUCUCUACAGUCGUCUGGUUCAUGCUUUAUCUCCCCUACCACGCCCCGAGCAGCUAGAGAUUAGGGACUUUGCUCUAGUCGUCUCUGGAGCGCUCCACCACUUCUGACUGAGCACCUAGAUAAUAGGACAUAUCCAAUAAAUGAUUGUGGAAUAAGGGAAUGAACCUAAAAUCCAAAGCGUUCCCAGAAUUCUGUGAAUCCCUGGGCCAAACUCUCAGAAGACUGCGGAGAACUUUAACCUUUCCCUGGGGUCACAGAUAAGUCGGCUCUGGCGUUUUUCAUGGUGGAGGGCGGGGCAAGAUCAUUUCAGGAAGAGGUGCCCUUGCAUUGAUUUAUUGACCUGGCCAGGCGAAGACCAGACAGAGAAAAGAAAAGUCCUUCUGAUCCGUUUGUUUAUUCACCAUCUGCUUUGUUUUUCUCUCCCUGUCCUUGUUACAGAGAAGGGGGCUUCAGGAAGGCACAGACUGAAUGAAAGAACCUCCCAAAGGCACUGACAGGUGUGGGGUUCCCUCUUGAUCCUCGAGGCCUGAGCUUCCAGGAAGUUUUGAGUUUAAUUGAAAGAACUGCAUAUGAAUUCUAGUCGAAAAGCUGGAAGCUCGGCCCGGUGUCUGUUCUCCCCUCUCUCUGCGGUUGUGUUCAUUUCCUCAGAUUUCCUAUCUGAACAGAGUCUGGAGCUGCUGGGACCAACUGGAGUUUGGGAAACCGAGCGCGUAAAAGAGGGAAUACAGGACUCAGAUCACCUCUUGAAAUGGUCUGCAGGUAGCCCUGCUCCAGAGCUGUCCUGGAGCUGCUUUUUGGCUGAUUUGCAACAGAGACACUCACUCUUCAGCCACAAGUGUUAAGUAGAAAAGGCUAUGUGGCUUAAGAUACCUGUAGUCCAUCGGGCUGUGCAGACUCACUAGUUUUCAACCUGCCUUCUAUUAUGUUGUGGCAAUGAUGCUAUUCCAGGAACCUCCGCCCCCAGCAGGGCAGAAACAACAGGGACACCUUUUCAGGGAAGGAAAGUUACAUGAUUACAGGUAUUCUGAACAGGCACACAAGCGCUCUACUAAGUUGCACAGUCAUUGUUGGAAACAGUGUUUCAGCUCCAGUACCUCAGACAAUUGCUGGUGGGGGGAGGGAGGGCGUAGGAAUGAGAAUGUCCAGGGGCAUUGUUAGCAGAUCAGGAGUCACCAAAGGAAAAUCUGAGCUGGGCGGAUCAGCAGCUCCCAGCCUGGUGCUUGGCAGGCUCAGCAGCACAAGCUGACUGCUGCUGGGAAGAAACUCCCUGUUCACUAUCUUCACUUCCUGGACUGCCCAAGUCAGUGCAGACUCAUUUCUGGAAGGAUAUCCCUUGACUUCCAGGUUCUGACCUUGCCUCCCCUUCAGGUCUCUAUCUCUUGCCUAGUUGGCAUCUUAUCUCUCUUCCCGACUCUGGCUUCCUCUUCGGGCCUCAGCAUUGCUCUCACAACUUUUUUGGGUCAUGCUGUCCUUGCGUUUCCUACAGGUAGCCACAGGCGCUCUGCCCAGGGACCUGCAGCAGCACGGUCUUAUAGAAAGGGCCUGGACUCGGAAGCCACACAAAGUUGCAAGUGAAUGACUGAUGCUAAUUUAUAAAGCCUGGGAACACAGCAAAGGAGUUCAGGAGAACUGAUCACAUUGGUGGCUAAUCACUGAUAUGCAGCUUGGCCGUGGCAAGGAUUGAAAUGAAAAUUGUGUGUCAGUCUUUGACAUUGAAACGGAUGACAGUAAUCAGCCCCAUGCAACAGAUCAUUUCAUUCAACUACGCAGACGCAUUUUGCAGCUAAUCCUUCUUGCGAGACUAUUACUAUGAAUCACACCUUUUUAGCUGUGUGGUCCAGAAUCUAAGUGUCUCAGAAGGUCCUGUGAGAGGGAAAGGUUUGCGCUGCCUGGCGGCACAGGGCAGACAUCUCGACUCUCACAUAUGCCCACUCUGUGGACUUGCUUUAAGCCUAUGGGCCGAGAUUGCAAACUGGCAGCCGGUGGACCGCACACAGCCUGUGGAUGUGUUCUAUUUGGCUCCACACUGUUUUGCUUUUAUUUUAUUUUUUGUUGAGGAAUAUUAACCCUGAGCUAACUGCUGCCAAUCCUCCUCUUUUUGCU